rnacentral:rRNA from 1 species
UACGGAGGGUGCGAGCGUUAUCCGGAUUCACUGGGUUUAAAGGGUGCGUAGGUGGGAAUGUAAGUCAGUGGUGAAAUCUCCGUGCUUAACACGGAACUGCCAUUGAUACUAUGUUUCUUGAAUUUUCUGGAGGUUAGCGGAAUAUGUCAUGUAGCGGUGAAAUGCUUAGAUAUGACAUAGAACACCGAUUGCGAAGGCAGCUAACUACAGGGAUAUUGACACUGAGGCACGAAAGCGUGGGGAUCAAACAGG